GGUCCCGUAGUCUAGCGGUUAUCACGUCGCCCUGUCACGGCGAAGAUCGCGGGUUCGAUUCCCGUCGGGACCG
rnacentral:tRNA from 1 species